CCCCGGGCGUAGCCCGCCGCCUCAGGCCCCGGCGCCCGCGCCCCACGCCGCGCGCCUCGAGGACGGGCCCGGAGCGUGGGGCCGCGGCGCCGCCGAGAGUUGAGCGAGCGAAAUUUGAGCAUCACUCUGGCUGCCUGGACCCAAGACUUUCAGCGGAAACAGAAUCCAAAACAGCUCCUCAAAUUGCCUUGUGCUCGAGUUCCUUACUUCAUUCAGUAGGAUGUCAUCUGAAUUCUCAGAAGAUAAACAGAGGAAAGAAAACGAAGAGACCUGGAAAUGGAUUUUAAAGCAAUACUAGUUGUAAACAGCCAUGUUUAUAGCAAUUUCACCCAUAGUCAGUCCAAACUGGAAACAACUUGAGUAUCCAUCAAAAGAAUGACUCACCAGGACACUCACACUGGGCAGUACUACUCAGAAAUGAAGAGAGAUAAACUACUGACACUUGCCACAACACGAACUGAUCUCAAAUCUUUACGCAGCAGGAAAGAAGUCAGACACAGAGUGAUGCACACUCCCCAAUUCUUCUCGAAUGAAGCACUCAUGUUCCGAUUUAGAAAUCAGACUGCUGGCUGCCUGUGGGGGGGGUGUAGACUGAGAGGCACAAAGGAACUUCCUGGGGCACCAAAAAUGUUUUGUAUUUUGACUGCAGUGGUGACUACCAGUGUGUAUGUUUAUCGAAGUAAUUUGACUUUGAAUACUGGAGGUCUGUGCAUUUCACACUAUGUAAAUUUUACCUCAAUACUUUUUUUAACCAACAGGAAGAAAAUUAAAUUAGCAGGACUUUCUAAAUGUCUCCAGAAUGUUCAUGUG